CACGUAGGGCGCAAGGCGUUGUCCGAUUAUUGGGCGUAAAGAGCUCGUAGGCGGUCUGUUGCGUCCGCUGUGAAAACUCGGGGCUUAACCCCGAGCCUGCAGUGGAUACGGGCAGACUAGAGGUAGGUAGGGGAGAAUGGAAUUCCCGGUGUAGCGGUGAAAUGCGCAGAUAUCGGGAGGAACACCGGUGGCGAAGGCGGUUCUCUGGGCCACUACUGACGCUGAGAAGCGAAAGCAUGGGGAGCGAACAGG
rnacentral:rRNA from 1 species